UACGGGGGGGGCGAGCGUUGUUCGGAAUUACUGGGCGUAAAGGGCUCGUAGGCGGCCAACUAAGUCGGAUGUGAAAUCCCCAGGCUUAACCUGGGAAUUGCAUCCGAUACUGGAUGGCUUGAAUCCGGGAGAGGGAUGCGGAAUUCCAGGUGUAGCGGUGAAAUGCGUAGAUAUCUGGAGGAACACCGGUGGCGAAGGCGGCAUCCUGGACCGGCAUUGACGCUGAGGAGCGAAAGCCAGGGGAGCAAACGGG
rnacentral:rRNA from 1 species